GUGAAUGCGCUCGACUGGGGUCUUGCACACAGGAUUUUGGUGGGGACCGCCGUCCAGGGGAAUGAGAUCUUCCAAGUACGGUUUGAUGUAGCUUCCAGUACAGCCACAUGCUACUAUGGGCUCUGCCUUGGCUUAGUACUAACGGGAAACCCUUACCUCAGGACCGCCAUCGGAGAGGGGCUUUCAUUGCCUAAGUUGCGGGCGGCUUGGUCAGGUAUAGGGGGCUGUUACGGAAAGGCUUCGUCACAAUCUCCUCCUAGUCGUACACCCAAGUGUGUAGCGGUGAACGGGGUUGGUUGUGUCAUGUGGGGAACGUGUACGACCUCUGCAGAGGGUUUAACCUAAUCGAUUAGCCGUGCCCCCGGUUACGGAGCAAUUUUGAGCAACUGAAGACUUGGACUGAAGAAGAAUCUCCCCUCUCUUUUCUCAAAGCUAUUUUAUAAAGGGUUAGGUGGAAGUUAAACACAGUGGGGUGUUUUACUUCAACCUGAAGGAGAAAAUUAUUUUUUUUUGUGAAUCUUGGUGCGGAUAUCCAAGUAUUCACUUAAACUCUAUGUUUUAAAAAAAUGUUUAUCAAAACUCAUUUUAUUUAUUUUGUUUAUAUUCUAGGGAAAAAAUGGCUUUUCGCAAAUAAACCCUAGACACCAACCCAGCAAGAAUAUUUGUUAUCACUCUUGUUGCAACUUGCGAGUACAUUCAAAGUACUUACCUGUACGUGUCAUGUGCAGAUGAUGAGUGACGAGUUAGGGCUACGGAGCUACACUUAACUAGCCUUGUGGCGAUUGAUGGGCUCGGGAUUAUUAUUAUGUUAUUUGCUUCCGCUAUGUAACUCAGCCUUCAGCUGAGAGAGUUGUAAUAAAUUGAACUUUGGAACUUCGAUGUAAUAAAAGGACGUGUGUGCUCGAUAUUCAUAUUUGUACUGGGUGUGCUAGCUUUUGAUCCAGGGAUA
rnacentral:lncRNA from 1 species